rnacentral:rRNA from 2 species
AGAGUUUGAUCCUGGCUCAGGACGAACGCUGGCGGUGCGCCUUAUGCAUGCAAGUCGAGCGAAGCUUUUCAGUAGUUUACUACAGAAAAUGACUGAGCGGCGAACGGGUGAGUAACGCGUGAGCAAUCUACCUUAGUUACAGGGAUAGCCCGAGGAAACUCGGAUUAAUACCUGAUAUUCUUUACAUUUCGCAUGAAAUCAAAAGGAAAGGUCAGCCGAACUAAGAUGAGCUCGCGUUCUAUCAGCUAGUUGGUGAGGUAAAAGCUCACCAAGGCAACGACGGACAGCUGGUCUGAGAGGACGAUCAGCCACACUGGGACUGAGACACGGCCCAGACUCCUACGGGAGGCUGCAGCAGGGAAUAUUGCGCAAUGAGCGAAAGCUUGACGCAGCGACACCGCGUGUGGGAUGACGGAUCUAGGUUUGUAAACCACUUUCAGGAGGGAAGAGAAUGACGGCACCCACACAAGAAGCCCCGGCCAACUACGUGCCAGCAGCCGCGUAAUACGUAAGGGGCGAGCGUGGUCCGGAUUUAUUGGGCGUAAAGAGCUCGUAGCCGGUUCAGUAAGUCGGGUGUGAAAACUCUGGGCUCAACCCAGAGACGCCACUCGAUACUGCUGUGACUCGAGUGCGGUAGGGGAGCGGGGAAUUCCUAGUGUAGCGGUGAAAUGCGCAGAUAUUAGGAGGAACACCAGUGGCGAAGGCGCCGCUCUGGGCCGUAACUGACGCUGAGGAGCGAAAGCGUGGGUAGCAAACAGGAUUAGAUACCCUGGUAGUCCACGCCGUAAACGUUGGGCACUAGGUGUGGGUCUCAACCAACGAGAUCCGCGCCGUCGCUAACGCAUUAAGUGCCCGCCUGGGGAGUACGGCCGCAAGGCUAAAACUCAAAGGAAUUGACGGGGGCCCGCACAGCAGCGGAGCGUGUUGCUUAGUCGAUGCACGCGAGAACCUUACCUGGAUUGGACAUGUAGGAAAAGCUCUAGAGAUAGGGUUCCUUCGGCCGUACACAGUGGUGCAUGCCUGUCGGCAGCUCGUGUCGUGAGAUGUUGGGUUAAGUCCCGCAACGAGCGCAACCCUUAUCCUAUGUUGCCAGCAUUUAGUUGGGGACUCGUAGGAGACUGCCGGGGUCAACUCGGAGGAAGGUGGGGAUGACGUCAAGUCAUCAUGCCCCUUAUGCCCAGGGCUGCAAACACGCUACAAUGGCUGGUACAAAGGGCUGCGAACCCGCGAGGGCAAGCGAAUCCCACAAAGCCAGUCUCAGUUCGGAUUGGAGUCUGCAACUCGACUCCAUGAAGCUGGAGUUGCUAGUAAUCCCGGAUCAGCACGCCGGGGUGAAUACGUUCCCGGGCCUUGUACACACCGCCCGUCACACCACGAAAGUCGGUAACACCCGAAGCCGGUGGCCCAACCAUUUGGAGGGAGCCGUCGAAGGUGGGAUCGGUGAUUGGGGUGAAGUCGUAACAAGGUAACC